rnacentral:rRNA from 1 species
UUUUAUGGAGAGUUUGAUCCUGGCUCAGGAUGAACGCUGGCGGCGUGCCUAAUACAUGCAAGUCGAGCGAACAGACGAGGAGCUUACUCCUCUGACGUUAGCGGCGGACGGGUGAGUAACACGUGGAUAACCUACCUAUAAGACUGGGAUAACUUCGGGAAACCGGAGCUAAUACCGGAUAACAUGUUGA